rnacentral:rRNA from 1 species
GACGAACCGUGCGACCGUUGUUCGGAAUCACUGGGCUUAAAGGGCGCGUAGGCGGGCUCGAAAGUCAGGGGUGAAAUCCCACGGCUCAACCGUGGAAGUGCCUUUGAUACUGUGAGUCUCGAGGGAGGUAGGGGCGUGCGGAACUUCCGGUGGAGCGGUGAAAUGCGUAGAUAUCGGAAGGAACACCGGUGGCGAAAGCGGCGCGCUGGACCUCUUCUGACGCUGAGGCGCGAAAGCCAGGGGAGCAAACGGG